UCGGAAUUACUGGGCGUAAAGGGUGCGCAGGCGGCUUCGCAAGUCGAGUGUGAAAUCCCCGAGCUUAACUUGGGAAUUGCGCUCGAAACUACGGAGCUGGAGUGUGGCAGAGGAAGCUGGAAUUCCACGUGUAGCGGUGAAAUGCGUAGAGAUGUGGAGGAACACCGAUGGCGAAGGCAGCCUUCUGGGCCAACACUGACGCUCAUGCACGAAAGCGUGGGGAGCAAACAGG
rnacentral:rRNA from 1 species